GACGAACGCUGGCGGCGUGCUUAACACAUGCAAGUCGAACGGAGUGGCGAACGGGUGAGUAACACGUGGGUGACCUUCCCUGCCCUUCGGGAUAAGCCUGGGAAACUGGGUCUACUACAGGAUAGUGUGGGAUGGGCCCGCGGCCUAUCAGCUUGUUGGUGGGAUAAUGGCCUACCAAGGCGGCGACUGGUUGCAGGCCUGAGAGGGUGGACGGCCACAUUGGGACUGAGACACGGCCCAGAAUCCUCCGGGAGGCAGAAGUGGGGAAUAGUGAACAAGGGGAGGAAGCCUGAUGCAGGGACGACGCGUGGGGGAUGACGGACUUCGGGUUGUAAACUCAUUUCACCAUCGACGCGGUAGAUGGAGAAGAAGCACCGGCUAACUACGUGCCAGCAGCCGCGGUAAUAC
rnacentral:rRNA from 1 species